rnacentral:rRNA from 1 species
CAGUAGCCGCGGGAAUACGGAGGGUGCAAGCGUUAAUCGGAAUUACUGGGCGUAAAGCGUGCGCAGGCGGUUAUAUAAGACAGAUGUGAAAUCCCCGGGCUCAACCUGGGAACUGCAUUUGUGACUGUAUAGCUAGAGUACGGCAGAGGGGGAUGGAAUUCCGCGUGUAGCAGUGAAAUGCGUAGAUAUGCGGAGGAACACCGAUGGCGAAGGCAAUCCCCUGGGCCUGUACUGACGCUCAUGCACGAAAGCGUGGGGAGCAAACAGGAUUAGAUACCCGGGUAGUCCCUGUCUCUUAUAC